UUCAGGCCACCUCGAGAAUCGAUCUAUUAUUGUUAAGCAAUAACGGAAAUCUUGACAAGAAGGAAGAGGGCCUAUUAAAUCCAAAUGAACAUGUUGAAAACGCUGAUCAGGAACCGCAAUUCUAACAGGGACAUUUUUUGUAUGUCUUGAAAUUUUGGAACGUUGACAAGAAGUUGUUUAGCUGUAGUUCUACCGCUGGGAUGUGCGAGGCCAUGAACUACAUCAAAAAUUCUCUUACGAAGAGGUUUAGGAACGUAUGGACGAAUUAACUCAGAGGAACAGUCACAAUAUAUAGGUACAGAUGAACCAAGAGACAAUGAUUG